GUGAGGAAUUUUCCGCAAUGGGCGAAAGCCUGACGCAGCCAUGCCGCGUGAAUGAUGAAGGUCUUAGGAUUGUAAAAUUCUUUCACCGGGGACGAUAAUGACGGUACCCGGAGAAGAAGCUCCGGCUAACUUCGUGCCAGCAGCCGCGGUAAUACGAAGGGGGCUAGCGUUGCUCGGAAUUACUGGGCGUAAAGGGCGCGUAGGCGGACAGCUUAGUCAGAGGUGAAAGCCCAGGGCUCAACCUUGGAAUUGCCUUUGAUACUGGCUGUCUUGAGUUUGGGAGAGGUGAGUGGAACUCCGAGUGUAGAGGUGAAAUUCGUAGAUAUUCGGAAGAACACCAGUGGCGAAGGCGACUCACUGGCCCAAUACUGACGCUGAGGCGCGAAAGCGUGGGGAGCAAACAGGAUUAGAAACCCGGGUAGUCC
rnacentral:rRNA from 1 species